UGAUAAAACGAACUCUUUGAUUAUUAAAUUCAAAAAUUGUACACACAGAACACCUAAAACGGAAUAUAAUGGUGUGAACACGCUAUUUUAUGGGAGUUUGAGGUGUUCGAUGACUGCGGGAAUUGCAUAGCAAUGAAGCAAUCCGGUUACAUCA
rfam:Eubacterium sp. CAG:76 genomic scaffold, scf98